UGUGUGUGUGUGUGUGUGUGUGUGUGUGUGUGUAUUAUUUAUUUAUUUAUUUUUAGUAGGUGGAGUCUCGCUCUGUCACCGAGCCUGGAAUGCAGUGGUGAGAGCUCACUGCAGCCUCUGCCUCCCAGGUUCCGGUGAUCCUCCUGCCUCAGCCUCCUGAGUAGCUGGGACUAUGGGUGCGCACCACCACCAUGCCUGGCUCUUUUUUUUUCUGGAGACAGAGUUUUGCUCUUGUUGACCAGGCUGGAGUGCAGUGGCGCUAUCUCGGCUCACCACAACCUCUGUCUCCCAGGUUCAAGUGGUUCUCCUGCCUUAGUCUCCCGAGUAGCUAGGAUUACAGGCAUGCGCCACCAUGCCUGGCUAAUUUUGUGUUUUUGGUGGAGACGGUUUCCCUGUGUUGGUCAGGCUGGUCUCGAACUUCCGACUUCAGGUGAUCCGCCCACCUUGGCCUCCCAAAGUGUUGGGAUUACAGGCGUGAGCCACCGUGCCCAGCCUUUUUUUGUAUUUUUAUAUUUGGUUAAUUUCUUUCUACCCCAUAGAAUAAAACUGACAUAAAACAUAACAAAAAGAAAAAAGCAUAGGCCAGGCAUGGUGGCUUAUGCCUGUAAUUCUAGCACUUUGAGAGGCUGAGGUGGGCGGAUCACUUGAGGUCAGGAGUUCAAGACCAGCCUGGCCAAUAUGGCAAAGCCUUCUCUCUAUACUAAAAAUACAAAAAAAGGCGGAGGUUGCAGUGAGCUAAGAUUGCGCCAUGGCACUCCAGCCUGAGCAACAGCACAAGACUCUGUCUUAAAAAAAAAAAUGUAUUUAUCUGGAAGACAAAUGUCAAAUCUUAAUAGUGGUUAUCCCUGGAUUAGAGCAUUUUGGUGUGUUGCUUUCCUGGUAGAAUAUUGUUUUAAUGAAAAUGGAUCAAAGGAGGACAUAGAUGGGUGAAAACCAUGAGGAAUUGACUUUGACAUUCUUAAUUGCAUCAGCAGAAAUAGUUAAAAAGUACUUCUAAAACCACUUGCAUGAACUAGGUGUUUAAGGGGAACCGCUCACGCUUAUUCUCAGAUACAUUAAUAAAAGGACACUUGAAGUCUAUGAAGAAGAUAGCUGUUCCAGCCUUACCGCACAUUUUCUUCCUGAGUGAAAAUAGGAACUUAUGUAUUGGUGGCCAUCUUGACAUGAAACUACAAGAUCCUUCCCAACAGUAUCAUCCUACACUGAAACCUGGAACCAAAUCCAUUCCCAUUCAGCAAAUGUUGAUCAAGUGGCAUGUAGGGGAUACAGAGAUGAUUGCAUACAAAGAUGAAAAAGAAAACGUUUCUGCCAGGGCCAGGCGCGGUGACUCACACCUACAAUUCCAGCACUUUGGGAGGCCAAGGCAGGUAGAAUUGCUUGAGUUUGAGUUCGAGACCAGCCUGGGCAACAUAGUUGACCUUAUCUCUACUUAAAUAAAAAUAAUCAGCCAGGCAUGGUGGCAUGUGACUGUAGUUCCAGCUACUUUGGGAAGCUGAGGUGCCAUUGCACUCCAGCCUGGUCAGCAAGAGC
rnacentral:lncRNA from 1 species